rnacentral:rRNA from 1 species
UACGAAGGGGGCUAGCGUUGCUCGGAAUCACUGGGCGUAAAGCGCACGUAGGCGGAUUGUUAAGUCAGGGGUGAAAUCCUGGAGCUCAACUCCAGAACUGCCUUUGAUACUGGCGAUCUUGAGUCCGGGAGAGGUGAGUGGGAUUCCCAGUGUAGCGGUGAAAUGCGUAGAUAUUGGGAGGAACACCAGUGGCGAAGGCGGCUCACUGGACCGGAACUGACGCUGAGGCGCGAAAGCGUGGGGAGCAAACAGG